CAGGCCUAACACAUGCAAGUCGAGGGAUGCCAGCAAUGGUAGACCGGCAAACGGGUGCGUAACACGUACACAACUUUCCGUCAAGUGGGGCAUAGCCCGGGGAAACCCGGAUUAAUACCCCAUAAAAUAUAAGCUGCGGCAUCGCAGUAAUAUUAAAGCUCCGGCGCUUGAUGAUGGGUGUGCGGCUGAUUAGGUAGUUGGCGGGGUAACGGCCCACCAAGCCUUCGAUCAGUAGCUGAUGUGAGAGCAUGAUCAGCCACACGGGCACUGAGACACGGGCCCGACUCCUACGGGAGGCAGCAGUAAGGAAUAUUGGUCAAUGGGCGCAAGCCUGAACCAGCCAUGCCGCGUGGAGGAUGAAGGUCCUCUGGAUUGUAAACUUCUUUUAUUUGGGACGAAAAACGGGGAUUCUUCCUCACUUGACGGUACCAGAUGAAUAAGCACCGGCUAACUCCGUGCCAGCAGCCGCGGUAAUACGGAGGGUGCAAGCGUUAUCCGGAUUCACUGGGUUUAAAGGGUGCGUAGGCGGGCUGUUAAGUCAGUGGUGAAAUCUUUGGGCUUAACCCGAAAACUGCCAUUGAUACUAUCAGUCUUGAAUAUUGUGGAGGUCUGCGGAAUAUGUCAUGUAGCGGUGAAAUGCUUAGAUAUGACAUAGAACACCAAUUGCGAAGGCAGCAGACUACGCAUAUAUUGACGCUGAGGCACGAAAGCGUGGGGAUCAAACAGGAUUAGAUACCCUGGUAGUCCACG
rnacentral:rRNA from 1 species